GAGAAACCAGGCUCUUGAGUCCUUGUCCUGCAACCCUAAUCGAUCACUGAUGCACUUAUGUGGUGAUUCAUUAAAGUCUUUAGAAGCCAUAAGUGCUGUCUCUCUCCUUCCUCGUGGCACAGAACAGGGAGGAUCCCUCUACAAAGCCUUGAUGUCAUGGACCUCAAUAUGUACACCAGGAACACGCACCUUUGCAUACGUCGUGUUGUCUGCGAACUGCGAC